UCCGUCUGUCGCACUCGACCUCAACCGGAGAACGCGCCAUCGCCAAUGGCCGCGGACGGUAACUACCCAGCCCUCGUUCGAUCCGUCCGAAACCCUAAUUUGAUCUUUUCCCCGCUUCAAAUAUCUGUUUUCGUAUUCCUUCGUCUCUCUAAAUCUCUCCCUCGAAUUCGACACCGGAGACAGAAACCGGCUGAUGAUGAAAGAGAAGACCUCCUCAUCCAAGGCGAGUUCAAUCGGUUGAUAUUAUGGGACCCUAAUCGUUGUUCUCUUUCUUCCUGAUUCUUGAUUUUGCUUGUCAAUCGGGCUCUUCAUAUGUUGGAAGAGGAAGACUUCCAUGACUAUGGCAGUGAUUUCCACGAGGAUUCCCAAUGGCGAGAGGGAGAUUAAGAAGAUGGAUUUUACCCAAAUGGAGCUGAAGUCGGAUCACGUGAACAGGCCGCUUUGGGCCUGUGCCGAUGACCGUAUCUUUUUGCAAACCUUCUUCCCUCUCUACAAGCAAGCCUACGAUUACCUCGUUGUCGUCACAGAGCCUGUCUGCAGGCAUGAAUAUAAUUUGACGCCGCACACACUGUGUGCUGCGGUUUCAGUUGGUCUGAAAAUUGAGACCAUCAUCAGUGUUCCGAGCAAGCUGUUAGAAAACGAAGUUGCCACCUGGGGUAAUUGGCUCUUCGUCCAUCAGUCGACCGCCAACUAUGGCAAAGUUAAGCUCGUUCUGAAAAAGACUUGGAAUUUCGUUGAGCCACCAUUUCCAGAGGUAUUGAAGCAAUUGCUUAAGGUGAUGUCAUAUCAAAGGCACGGAUUAACUCUGAGGACGAUUCUCAUGAUGCUGAUACAUUCACAAUUAGCAAAUCUGUGUAUGAAAUACGAGGUGGUCAUGAGGACUUACUGAAUGGGGCUAUGUUAGCUGCUGCAGCUGAAGAGAAAGAAACUCAUUUGAAAUAGAACCUUCCCAGCUGCAAUAGAAAAUCUCAUGCCACAAUAUCUGAAUUCGCAGGAAGACAGAAGAAGAUAGUCAAGUUCUCCUUCUACAACCUUUGGAUUGGAUGACAAUGUCUUUAUAGAUCAGAUAGAGAUCAAUAGGGAUCUAACGUUUCCAUCAACGAGAACAGUGCACAUGACUUUUGAAUUGCGUUGCCGUAUGUACAUAGGAUUCUUGAUAUAGAUUUUUCGAAGCACUACUCUUGUGUGUUGCGUUGCCGUGCUUCUGCUGUGUUUUGUAUAAUUUCGUACGUUGAGCGCAACAUAAACCAACGGUUCGCCCCCUCGACCCCACAGCUAUGAUGAUUCUAUCAUCUAGGUUGUUAUUUUACCGUAUGUCCCUAUAGCAACGGUGUUGCAAUAUACGAAUCACGGAUUACUCUCU